rnacentral:lncRNA from 1 species
UCCGUUUCCAACCCUAAGCACAGGUUCGAUUCCCGUGUCUCUUUCGAUCAUUAGAUCAUUAGUGCAACAACAAGUACCUACGAUGACUCUUUUUCGGAGAAGUAGCUGUAGGAGCGCCGCUCGCACACUAAGUGUCGCUGGUAGCUGGCAAAAUGGAAAAAAAGUUGCAAUGACAGUUUCACGUUGUGAGUAUAAGUGUUCGGUAGAUCUCUCUUCAUUUAGGUGAGUCUUGGUUGCUCUAUCUUGUAAGACUCAUCCGAUCUUGAUCCCACUCCUGGCUUCAUGAGUUGAGUUUCCCACUUUCCUCGAAAGAAGAGAGGAGCAACUAGAACAAAAGAAUCACAUCGAGAGAAAGGAGCUAAAGACUGGGAAUUCGCCAAUAAGACUGGUGAUUCUCCUAUCUUUGCAUGUGAUUUUGCGAGCUAAGCGAUCCCAAGCGAAGUACCUCACUCUUUCCUCGCUAAGCCAAAGCACCUAAGAGGUGUGAGCUAUGAGUUCCUCUCUCUUGUUCCCUUGCCAGCUGGGAAGGCCAGAGCGAGGGAUGAUGUCGAGCACGAGGAUGAUAUUCCAGUUCAGUCCCCGAUGAGCAACAAUAACCGAGCCGGAUCUGGUGUAUCAUAAGGGAUUUGCCUUUUCUAUUGAUUCCUAC